rnacentral:lncRNA from 10 species
AAUUACCUUUGUAAAAUGAGAGGCCCAAGCACGGCGCCCCAACCCCCCGCCACACCCCCCCACCCCCUACCCCCCAGCUGUAACUGAGUGAAAUUAGAGGCUGUGCAUUGCAUCAUUCAGAUGCUGCCUGACCACUUGGACUCACAGUGCAGCCUAGGACUUCACUGACUGUUAUAAACUGAUAGCAUCCCCCUUCCAAAGAAGACCUUCCUAGUCCUGUAAGCACUGAUCCUAAGCUGCUUUUCCAAUGCUACUUUGCCAUUGGGUGAAGCAAAAUGUCAGAUAAGCUUACUAGCAAAUGUGCCUCUGAGCACAGCCCACUUCUGCAUCCCCAAGACGGCAUCCUUUGUGCUCUGCUGAUGGUGGAGAGAAUCAGCAACCCUCCUUUCCUGAGUGAGUACCUGGCAGUCAUCAAGAUCCUCAGAAAAGGAGAAGAAAAUGGAGAAACUUAGGAGAAGAAAGUAAAAGGUGACAGACAAGGAAAAUCGAGCUGUGAAAUGCCACAUUCAUCUGUCCUGGAUUAAUGCUCCACAUGCUGGGUUGCUGUAGUAGCACAUCAGUGGUAACAACUCUUAAAAUAUAUUUGCUUCCAUUUAAUUAAAGUCGGCCGUGAGGAAUGUAUUCACAAGUGUUGGCCAAGUGUGUGAUUCUUCUGGGGAGUCCUUCAGUCAUUGGCUUAAGUAAGAAGGGGUCUGUGCCACAGAAUCUUCUGGGGCCAGGCCAUCACUGAAAACACGUUUUCCACGACCCAGCCUCUGCAUUCUCUGCUGGCAAGCCCACAGACGCCGAAGACAGGGCUCAGAAACACAACGCAGCUGCCAAAUGGCUUCCCUUCCUCACUGCUUUAUGUUCCCGGGGCCAAAUGGGCCUCAGAACAGACCUGAAAAUCUGUGAGAUGGAAACCGGGAACUGAGCGGUCCCGUGCAGAAAAGAGGCUCCGAGUGUUUACACAACAUCCCCAGGACGUACUGCACUUUCCAGGGCGAGUGUCUUUCCAAAACGCCUGCAGACCCAGCCUGCGUCAGGCACAGCUCCAACUUUCCUGCAAAAAUCGCCUUGCAGGGCCCUUCAUCCUCCUCUCAGUUCAGAAAUGGGGCUGGAGAGUUUCACACACGCAGCCCAGAUAGGCACACGUGUGGGAUCUUGCUGUGUUGCAAUCUCAUGGGGGUAAAACGGCUGCUGAAAUUGGGUAGUCACGGACUUUGGAUUUUUAGAGAAUACCCAAUUCUAAUCCUAAUGGGAAUGAGGAUGACGAUGAUGAUGAUUCUGUGAAGUAGCGAGCUCCAUUUCCCUCACGGUUCAGACCGAAAACCAUCUUUCUUUCCAGAUACUGCAGUGGAACCCUAGGAAAUCAUGGUGUUUUGUGAAAAGCUCCUCAGUCUGUGGGAUGAACCUGGAGCUCCGACAAGGAUAGCUCCAGGCUUCUUUUCAAAUCCUCUGGAGAGGGAAUGUGUGCGAGAGGAAGUCGGGGGGAAGAGCAGAGACAGAAAGAUGUAAAUCACCGUCACUUCAUAAAACGGAGUUUUCUUGUAAUAUGCUUUGGUAAUGUUGAGCUGAAAAUAGAUUGACAAUCAAAAUGGGCUUAAUCUGAUAUUAAAGAAUUCUCUUAAAAUCCCCCAAACAAUUGAGAUUUUUUUUUCCCUUUGGUUUGUUUUGCGUUAGCUCUUCCAAGAGGCUGUGGAUGUAAAGAAAUAUAUUGACAUUAA